rnacentral:rRNA from 1 species
AAUCAACGCUGGCGGCGUGCCUAACACAUGCAAGUCGAGCGGGAAAGGGGCUUCGGCCCCUGAGUAUAGCGGCGGACGGGUGAGUAACACGUGGGUAAUUUGCCCUUGGGUGUGGAAUAACUCAGGGAAACUUGAGCUAAUACCGCAUGACAUCCUCUUCGCACACGAGUUGAGGAUCAAAGCCGGGACCCUUCGGGGCCUGGCGCCUGAGGAGAAGCCCGCGCCCGAUUAGCUAGNGGUGAGGUAAUGGCUCACCAAGGCUACGAUCGGUAGCCGGCCUGAGAGGGCGGGCGGCCACACUGGGACUGAGACACGGCCCAGACUCCUAC